GAGCUAGCAUCAUUACUACUUGGAAUAUCAGUCCUUUGAAGGCUUUCAGUCCACUGAAACAUUUUUUAAUGAAAAUCAGUGUUGAAGGAAAAAAAGAGUCUCAGCAGAGCACUAAAAAAUUUGAAGGAAUUUUAGUGAAUAAAUAAGAUCAACUGAGGAGAAAAGAGAACAGAGGAUACCUUAGCUUCAAAUGAUGAAUGAAAAAUCUGUCUUUCUCAAGACACCCAAAGAAUAGCUUCAAAUUUCAGCCAGGAAAAGUAGAAAACAGGAACGGAGAGAGGACGAAGAGCUACCAUCUGCCACUGGGAAUGACAGCUGACUACCUAGCUGAGGAUCCUUUGAAAUAAGUCGAGAUGGUCAAGUAAAUGAACACCAAAGCAGGAUCUCCAACAAAAGGAAAAAGUGAUUGUGUAUGGACAUG
rnacentral:lncRNA from 1 species